AAUAGAAUGGCACACAAAGCAAUCCGCCCUCUGCUCUUUGUGGCUCCACUUCAGUAGUCUAACGUGGUUUCCUUUCCUCACUGACUUUCAUUGAGCCGUGUUUCUGUUCAAUCAUUGGCUGAGGACUGGGCACGGUGCUGCCUAAUGAUUGUCAGCGUUGUUAUUGUGUUUCUCAUAUUUAAGUGGAUAAGACAGGUGAAAGGAAGCCACUGUAUAUUAUUGAAAGAGCCUGUGUGGUGCUCUGGUGGUUGGGGAGUCUGUCCAAAUGCAGUUAUGGCCGGGAAAGAUGAAUUUGCACCGGGGCAUAGUAAGGCAUCUGUUUGCACAGGAGCUGGUUGAACAGGGCAUGGCAAAGACGACCAAACAGUUUGCAUAGAGGUUAUAUUCUGGAGAUGCAUCCUAAUUUGCUCUUAAGCCACCUACACAUGAGCCACGUAAAACCGCUCUGCACCAUUCUGCAGCGUUCCAUUGUUUUCCUAUGGGGAGAGCGGUGCCUCCCAACCAGGGGUGGGUCUAGAGGGAUGGCCUGGGUCCCCCCGGACGGCCUCUGUUAAGAAAACUACAGAAGAGGAUUCAAGACGAAGAAAGUUCCAUCCUGACUUUCUGAGACUUGAAUCAGAUCAAUCAAAUUUUAAGGUUAAUUGCUUCUCACUUUUUUCCUUAACAAAGGAGAGAAAAUAAAACAAAAAUUAAAGCAUGUCAAACUUCAAAUUAUUUCAACUUUGACUAAGCUGCCGCUGACCUUUUCAAGGCGUAACCCAUUCCAGAAGCAAGAAUAAUGUAUAGCUGCGUCAUGCAUGCUUUGUGCUCUGCGCUCUACCUCACGGUUUUACCGUGGAUCAUGUGUAGGCUGCUUUACAGGUGACAGACACUGUUGACUGGUCUUGAAUUGGAAUUAAGUGCUAUCUUAGUGUAAGUGUUGGUCACUUUGACAUCUUGAGGGAACUGUUGAGGUUUUGGACAGGGGGUUCCAAUAUCAGUAUCCUGCACUAUUGCAGCAACAACAACUCCAAUAACUUGAAUAAAUAAAUCAUUUGGAUGAUGAUGUAUCCUAGAUAGCUAAAGGGACUGCUGCAGUAUCUGUGUGUUGGGAACCUCUGUUCAUCUGGGCACUUUGCUUGUGUUCAAAAUGCAUUUUGUGCAUCCUCUGAUCUCGAGAAGAGUGUGAGAUAACCCAAAGGUCAGAGACUGGAUCCCAAAAUCCUCAACAGUUUUCUCCUCACAAUUUCCCCCACUGACCUGUUAGCCAAUCAUGUCCUGGGUCAUAUGAAAGUUCUGUGGCAUGAAUUUGUUAAUAUUGCUUAUUGCACACAUGCAAAGGCUUGUUAUCGCAGGUCAGAUCCGAACCCUCAGUGUGCUGUGCACGGAUGGCUUUCUCUCUUCUUCC